CUACGCCCCAACGGGAGACGGGAGACCUGCCUCUUCUCUCUCAUGCGUGACCAAGGUCUGGAGGAGCCGCACCCAGGACAGCACACCGGCGGCAGUGCCCAGAUUGACUUGUGAUGUUGAGAAGAUCACCAUGUCGAAGGAUGGACCAUUAGAGAAGAGUGUUCUCGCCAAAGUAAGGUUGAGUUGAGCAUGGCAUGAUGGUCAUAGUUUCUGCAAGACGUAUCUUCAAUGCUCACAGGUUGUUAUCCUAGGCCUAUUCCGUGUAGCAAAACAUGCUGGAUUUGGACCUUUGAAACUUAACUAUGUAACAACACCAUGCUCGGAUUUGAAGAAAUCAUGUUGUGCACGCGUGUCAGCUAAGGACGCAACCCCAUUGGUUCAUCAAAUUAACUGUAGAGGACCUUACAAGUGUAUUAAUAUGUUGUACCAUAACUAUACAAAUCCUUUAUACCACUCUGCUCUGCCUUUGAUAACUUGGAUCUAUGUGUUUUUGUUGAACUUGAGGCAAUUAAGCUUUCUUUAGGCAAGUACUGUGUUACUUUUGAUACAAAUUGAAUCUCCAUGCUUUGUAUUGAACUUGACAU